GAUGAACGCUGGCGGCGUGCCUAAUACAUGCAAGUCGAGCGAACAGACGAGGAGCUUGCUCCUUCGACGUUAGCGGCGGACGGGUGAGUAACACGUAGAUAACCUACCUCUAAGACUUGGAUAACUUCGUGAAGCCAGAGCUACUACCGGCUCAUAUUUCGAACCGCAUGGUUCGAUAGUUAUAGAUGGCUUUCCUAUCACUUAUAGCUGGACCUGCGCCGUAUUAGCUAGUUGGUAAGGUAACGGCUUACCAAGGCAACGAUACGUAGCCGACCUGAGAGGGUGAUCGGCCACACUGGAACUGAGACACGGUCCAGACUCCUACGGGAGGCAGCAGUAGGGAAUCUUCCGCAAUGGGCGAAAGCCUGACGGAGCAACGCCGCGUGAGUGAUGAAGGUCUUCGGAUCGUAAAACUCUGUUAUUAGGGAAGAACAAACGUGGAAGUAACUGUGCACGUCUUGACGGUACCUAAACAGAAAGCAACGGCUAACUACGUG
rnacentral:rRNA from 1 species